AGAGUGAUUAAAGCGCCAGAACUACAAAUUGUGUAGUUGACGAGGAGGAGUUUUAUCGAGAUUUCGGCGGAUGACUCCCGGUUAUUCAUCAUAACCGCAAGCUUUUAUUUAAAUCACUGAGGCGACUUGGUGGACAAAGAUAAAAGUGUGAUGAGAG
rnacentral:ncRNA from 2 species